rnacentral:lncRNA from 1 species
GUAAAAGUUUAAUACAUCAAAUGAAUAAAUAAAAUAAUAUAUAAACAAUAAAAAUAAAUACAAAUAACACAUUGUAUUAAAGGCGCAAAACUGUCCAUCAAUUCAAGUUUUCGCGGUAUUUACACUUCUCCGGAAAAUUGGAUCUGUCCGCAAAUGUUCAAGGUGUUCUCAUACAACGUCUUUCAAGCGUUUGAUAAUGGCCCUGAAAUGAUACACAAUAAAACUCGAUUAAUAAUAUUAAAAAGUCCAGCGUGUUCCCGGAG